rnacentral:rRNA from 1 species
CAACUGGAAACGGUUGCUAAUACCCCAUAUGCUUUUUAGUGAAAUGGAUUUCCGCCUAAAGAGAAGCUUGCGGCUGAUUAGCUUGUUGGUAAGGUAAUGGCUUACCAAGGCGACGAUCAGUAUCUGGUUUGAGAGGAUGAUCAGACACACUGGAACUGAGACACGGUCCAGACUCCUACGGGAGGCAGCAGUGGGGAAUUUUCCGCAAUGGGCGAAAGCCUGACGGAGCAAUCUCGCGUGAGGGAAGACUGCCUAUGGGUUGUAAACCUCUUUUUUCAGGGAGGAAUAAAUGACGUGUACCUGAAGAAUAAGCAUCGGCUAACUCCGUGCCAGCAGCCGCGGUAAGACGGAGGAUGCAAGUGUUAUCCGGAAUUACUGGGCGUAAAGCGUCUGUAGGUGGUUUAAUAAGUCAACUGUUAAAUCUUGAAGCUCAACUUCAAAAUCGCAGUCGAAACUAUUAGACUAAAGUAUAGUAGGGGUAAAGGGAA